UCCGAAUUGGUGUAGUGGCUAACAUUUGACGCUCUCAUUGAAGUGCCGUCAAGCCCGGGGUUCGAUUCCCCGAUUCGGAG